ensembl:lncRNA
AAAGUUGCAAGUAGGAAAAUAGGAAAUCUUAUUUAGACGGUUGCUAGGAAGAGGAAGUAGAUUUAGCUUGUGUGUCUUUGACAAACAGGAAACAGAUUGACAACGCACACACAUAUUGAGGAACUUCAAACCUGAAGACAUAAGGGCAAAUAUGACACUUGUGCUGCAUGUACACAAAUAAGGUAUAGAACAUAAAUUGGACCAAUGGCACACUUGCUUAGGCUACCUCAACCCCCCCAUUAUUAGGUGUGUUUGAAGUAUAAAUAAUGCUGUUAUGAUGAUACAUGUUCAGACAUUGUGCGGCGACACUUGUCUCCAAAAGCUUUUGUAAUAAACGGAAUAUGCGGUACGAUAAUUGACCUGACUCCUGGUGUUUUAUUCUCCUUUCCAACAAACCAACUCGGGGAAGUGUUAGACUUCAACAGAACUAACCAAGAAGUGUUUUGGCAAACUACUACGCUCUCCCCGCUACCAUGGUAACAGUUAGGGUGGGCAUGGGCAAAGGAGCAGCAGCUAUUGAAUAUGCAAUGAGCAGCAGAAAACAGAAAACUUUGAAAGGGACUGAAACAAAGGGUAAUAGAUGGAGAAAUCAAGACUCAUCAGACCAGGCAUCAUUCUUCCAGUCUUCAACUGUCCAGUUUUGGUGAGCUCGUGCAAAUCGUAGCCUCUUUUUCCUAUUUGUAGUGGAGAUGAGUGAUACCCUGUGGGGUCUUCUGCUGUUGUAGCCCAUCCGCCUCAAGGUUGUGCGUGUUGUGGCUUCACAAAUGCUUUGCUGCAUACCUCGGUUGUAACAAGUGGUUAUUUCAGUCAAAGUUGCUCUUCUAUCAGCUUGAAUCAGUCGGCCCAUUCUCCUCUGACCUCUAGCAUCAACAAGGCAUUUUCGCCCACAGGACUGCCGCAUACUGGAUGUUUUACCCUUUUCACACCAUUCUUUGUAAACCCUAGAAAUGUUUGUGCGUGAAAAUCCCAGUAACUGAGCAGAUUGUGAAAUACUCAGACCGGCCCGUCUGGCACUAACAACCAUGCCACGCUCAAAAUUGCUUAAAUCACCUUUCUUUCCCAUUCUGACAUUCAGUUAGGAGUUCAGGAGAUUGUCUUGACCAGGACCACACCCCUAAAUGCAUUGAAGCAACUGCCAUGUGAUUGGUUGAUUAGAUAAUUGCAUUAAUGAGAAAUUUAAUAGGUGUUCCUAAUAAUCCUUUAGGUGAGUGUAUGCUGCCUCUGGAUGAUGCCAUCUGGAAUCACAAUGUCAGUUUUCACUGUUAUGCUGAUAACACACAGUUAUAUAUUUCGAUGAAACAUGGAGAAGCCCCA